GACGAACGCUGGCGGCGUGCUUAACACAUGCAAGUCGAACGGUGAAGCGCCUUCCUUUUUGGUGGGUGUGGAUGAGUGGCGAACGGGUGAGUAACACGUGAGUAACCUGCCCCCUUCUUCUGGAUAACCGCAUGAAAGUGUGGCUAAUACGGGAUAUUCUGGGUCUGUCGCAUGAUGGGUCUGGGAAAGAUAUUGUUUCGGUGGGGGAUGGGCUCGCGGCCUAUCAGCUUGUUGGUGGGGUGAUGGCCUACCAAGGCGGUGACGGGUAGCCGGCCUGAGAGGGUGGACGGUCACACUGGGACUGAGGCACGGCCCAGACUCCUACGGGAGGCAGCAGUGGGGAAUAUGGCACAAUGGGCGCAAGCCUGAUGCAGCGACGCCGCGGGAGGGAUGGAGGCCUUCGGGUUGUGAACCUCUUUCGCCAGUGAAGCAGGCCUGCCUCGUUUGUGGGUGGGUUGACGGUAGCUGGAUAAGAAGCGCCGGCUAACUACGUG
rnacentral:rRNA from 1 species